UCCUACGGGGCGCAGCAGUGAGGAAUAUUGGUCAAUGGCCGGAAGGCUGAACCAGCCAAGUCGCGUGAGGGAUGACGGCCCUACGGGUUGUAAACCUCUCUUGUCGGGGAGCAAGACCCGCCUCGUGCAGGCGGAGAGAGAGUACCCGAAGAAAACGCAUCGGCUAACUCUGUGCCAGCAGCCGCGGUAAUACGGAGGAUGCGAGCGUUAUCCGGAGUUAUUGGGUUUAAAGGGUGCGCAG
rnacentral:rRNA from 1 species